UUUCCGUUUAGACAGAUCGGACGGAGUAUUGACGGCGCGUGGAACGGAUGGGAAGGUGAGCUCGACGUCGUCGAUCGAUAAGAAGAAAGAGAAGGCAAGACUGAGCCGGACUUCGAUGAUCUUAUGGCAUGCUCAUCAAAACGACCCCGGCGCUGUUCGUAAGCUUCUAGAGGAAGAUGGGUCUUUGGAUAUGGUGCCUCCACGAAUGGAUCGACGUCGCCACCUGCCUCCUUGAAUAUGGCGCCGCCGAUGUCAACGCUCAAGAUCGCUGGAAGAAUACGGUGCCACUUUAAAGGAUUUCCGGCAUGAAGCGAAGGUGGUUGUAAAGCUCCGCCAUCAUAAUGUGGUUCAAUUCCUUGGAGCUGUCACUGACAAGAAGCCCCAUAUGUUGGUUACUGAUUAUUUAAGAGGGGGAAAAAGGAGCUCUUAGUUCAUCAACAGCCGUCAACUUUGCAAGGUAUACAAGAAUGUUUCUAUUUUAAGUUGUACAGCAGGUGGAAAGUGCAGCUACAUGUGUCGUCCUGCUUUUGCAUCCAAGUAAAACUUGGAGGAAAACAGUGAGAGAAUUUAGAACCUACAUUUGCUUCGACUCUUUACCCUUACUGAAUAUCCAUAUCACACACGUAUCUAAUAUAUUGAUACGAGGAUAUGAACCUCUAAGGAUCUUCUAAAUAUAUAGAAAAACUUAGACAACUUUAACUAUACUCAUGUCAGAUACACACCCAUAGCAUCCGUACCACAUUUGUCAGUUUCGACAGGUAGUUGCUCUGGAGAAUAUGCAUUUGCUGUGUGAUUGCUUUUUGCACUUUCUAACAUGUAUGGCUAGAAUCUUGCUCCGGAGAAUAUGCAUUUGCUGUGUGAUUGCUUUUAGUAUUUUCUAAUAUGUAUGGCUAUUUUGCUAAUCUUUACUUUAUAAAUUGUAGCCAGGGGAGUGGCUUAUCUUCACAAUGAGCCAAAUGUCAUAAUUCAUCGAGAUCUAAAACCAAGGUAAG